UUAGGAUUUGAUUUAGAAUUUAGAAUUUGUUUAAGAUUUGAUUUAAGAUUUAGAAUUUAUUUAGGAUUUGAUUUAGGAUUUGAUUUAGGAUUUAGAAUUUAGAAUUUAUCUAGGAUUUGAUUUAAAAUUUAGGAUUUUUUUAGGAUUUGGUUUAAGAUUUAGGAUUUUUUUAGGAUUUGAUUUAAGAUUUAGGAUUUAUUUAGGACUUAAUUUAGAAUUUAGGAUUUGCUUAGGAUUUAGGAUUUGAUCUAAG
rnacentral:lncRNA from 1 species